rnacentral:rRNA from 1 species
UGAGGAAUAUUGGUCAAUGGGCGAAAGCCUGAACCAGCCAUGCCGCGUGAAGGAAUAAGGCCCUAUGGGUCGUAAACUUCUUUUGUAUCGGAGCAAUAAGGGCCACGAGUGGUCCGAUGAGAUUACGAUACGAAUAAGCAUCGGCUAACUCCGUGCCAGCAGCCGCGGUAAUACGGAGGAUGCAAGCGUUAUCCGGAUUCAUUGGGUUUAAAGGGUGCGUAGGCGGCUUGGUAAGUCAGCGGUGAAAUUCCAGUGCUCAACAUUGGCCGUGCCGUUGAUACUGCUGGGCUUGAAUGCGGAUGCCGUGGGAGGAAUGUGUGGUGUAGCGGUGAAAUGCAUAGAUAUCACACAGAACACCGAUUGCGAAGGCAUCUCACGAAUCCGCAAUUGACGCUGAGGCACG